UUUUAUGACGGCUGUACGCAGGGCGCAUUCGUGCGCGCUGGGUUCCUGGAGUCCCGGUCUACCAUCCUGCUUACGGCCGUCACCCUU
rfam:Pseudomonas putida strain TASWS0946 Contig164, whole genome shotgun sequence.